rnacentral:rRNA from 1 species
CCUACGGGUGGCAGCAGUGAGGAAUAUUGGUCAAUGGCCGGAAGGCUGAACCAGCCAUGCCGCGUGAAGGUCAGUGCCCUGUGGGCGUUAAACUUCUUUUGUGCGGGAGCAAUAAUGGUCACGUGUGGCCAGACGAGAGUACCGUACGAAUAAGCAUCGGCUAACUCCGUGCCAGAAGCCGCGGUAAUACGGGGGAUGCAAGCGUUAACCGGAUUUAAUGGGUUUAAAGGGUGCGUAGGCUGUGAGGUAAGUCAGCGGUGAAAUGCCCCCGCUCAACGGGGUGAAGUGCCAUUGAUACUGCCUUGCUGGAAUGCGGAUGCCGUGGGAGGAAUGUGUGGUGUAGCGGUGAAAUGCAUAGAUAUCACACAGAACACCGAUUGCGAAGGCAUCUCACAAAUCCGCGAUUGACGCUGAUGCACGAAAGCGUGGGUAUCAAACAGGAUUAGAUACCCGAGUAGUC